rfam:Picea glauca, whole genome shotgun sequence.
UUGUAAUGUAAUGCCUACAAUGUUGAUGCAUUGGAUCCCAUUAGAAAUCCAUAGUUUAGCGUGCUUGGGGUAGAGUAGUACUGGGAUGGGUGACCUCUCGGGAAGUCUUAGUGUUUUACAUG